UACGGAGGGUGCGAGCGUUGUCCGGAAUCACUGGGCGUAAAGGGCGCGUAGGCGGCAUGCCAAGCGUGUGGUGAAAGCCCGGGGCUCCAACCCCGGGUCGGCCGUGCGAACUGCGGAGCUGGAGCACUGUAGAGGCAGGUGGAAUUCCGGGUGUAGCGGUGGAAUGCGUAGAGAUCCGGAAGAACACCGGUGGCGAAGGCGGCCUGCUGGGCAGUCGCUGACACUGAGAGACGAAAGCUAGGGGAGCAAAUGGG
rnacentral:rRNA from 1 species